AGUCGUAACAGUUCAAGUAGGUGGAACCUGCGGAAGGAUCCAAUUGAUCGUAGGGCAUUGGCGGAGCCCUGUCGAGAUAGAACCCUUGCCUUUAUGAGUACCGUCCGUCUCCUCGGCAGGCCCGCCUGCCGAUGGACCCAAAACCAAACCCUUUUAUUACCUGUAUCAGUCUGAAAAUAAACAAAAUUAAAA
rnacentral:misc_RNA from 1 species